rnacentral:lncRNA from 1 species
CCUCUGUCUAGUCUGGAUGAAGGGUUGUAUAGUACAGCACCUCCUCUGUCUAGUCUGGAUAGAAAGGUUGUAGUACAGCACCACCUCUGUCUAGUCUGGAUAGAAGGGUUGUAGUACGGCUCCUCUGUCUAGUCUGGAUAGAAGGGUUGUAGUACGGCACCUCUGUCUAGUCUGGAUAGAAGGUUGUUGUACGGCACCUCCUCUGUCUAGUCUGGUAGAAGGGUGUAGUACGGCCACUCUUGUCUAGUCUGGUAGAAGGGUUGUAUGUACAGCACUGUCUAGUCUGGAUAGAGGGUUGUACGGGCACCUCCUCUGUCUAGU